GUCCAAAAGCUGGAUAUGGAAAUCUAUGCACUAAAGCAACACAUUAACGAUAUUCAUCAGGUGAUAAACCAGCAAAGAACACUUCUCCAAGACGUGUUAACUAUUGUGGAAGACACAGUUGUUACAACAAAUUUGCAUUCGGAGUUAAUUGCCAAAUCCACUGAGUUGCACCAAAGUCAUGACUUAUUCAAGCGUGAACUUUUAUUUCUGCA